AUUGAACGCUGGCGGAAUGCUUUUACACAUGCAAGUCGAACGGCAGCACGGGGCAACCUGGUGGCGAGUGGCGAACGGGUGAGUAAUACAUCGGAACGUGCCCAAUCGUGGGGGAUAACGUAGCGAAAGUUACGCUAAUACCGCAUACGAUCUACGGAUGAAAGCGGGGGAUCGCAAGACCUCGCGCGAGUGGAGCGGCCGAUGUCAGAUUAGGUAGUUGGUGGGGUAAAGGCUCACCAAGCCAACGAUCUGUAGCUGGUCUGAGAGGACGACCAGCCACACUGGAACUGAGACACGGUCCAGACUCCUACGGGAGGCAGCAGUGGGGAAUUUUGGACAAUGGGCGCAAGCCUGAUCCAGCCAUUCCGCGUGCAGGAUGAAGGCCUUCGGGUUGUAACUGUCUUUUCUCAGGGAAAAGGAGUGAUGGUACCUGAGGAAGUAAGACCCCGGCUAACUACGUGCCAGCAGCCGCGGUAAGCACCGGAGAGUA
rnacentral:rRNA from 1 species